AGCGGACUAUCAACAAUAUUGAGACUGAUUUGAUUCUUCAAAAAUUCAAAUUCACAUUUCAUGUAUCGGCUGAAAAUCCAAAAAAUCGUGCGGAAGGAAUUCCGUAAUUUUCCAGCCUUGAAAGAACAAACUUAGUAAAUCCAUGUGCAGACCCAUCAGAAACAUCCGCUAGAUCGAGACCAAUCGAAUUUCAGUUUUUCUUUUUCAAGACACCAGUGGUCCACUACAAUAACCAUUUUAAGGACCAAUCAGACUACACUUUUUUUCCGGAUUCUGGAUUUUUUUUCGGAUUUUUUCUCCAAAUAGUCAGGAAUCCGGUCUCAGAAAUCUGCCUUUCAAAAUUAGAAUUGUUUCUAAAUUUUCCGGAGUCCAGAUUUUUUUACACGGAUUUAUGAGACCGGAUUUCUGUCCGACCAAUCAGAAUUUUUUAUUUUGACGCGUAUUAUUUCAUUUUAUCCUAGUAGCGCAACAAAAAACUAACUUUAAAAUUGCUUCAGUUUUGUUUUGACAUUUGUUAAGUGUUGUUAUGAGUGAAAAUUUUGAUAAGAAUGACCGAUGCCAAGGAAAGGUGUCCCAACAAGAUGCCCAAAAGGUUUGUGUUGUAUUUUUAGUCAUUAAAACUCAUUAAAAAAUAACUUGUCACUCAUUUUUAACUCUCUUUUAGUAGGAAUAGCGUUUUUAAGUGGUAAAAAGAAGGCACAUAACUGUUGAUUUAAGAAGUCGAACAGUAUCCAGUGCUGUACAAAACCACCAUGAAAGCCUACAAGAAAGGAGAUGUGCAAGCCAAGGCCCGGGUAUCUAUUGCAAAGCAAUUCGAAGGCUGCUCCCCGCUUGAUGUUAAAGAUCGUUGGACAUAUUUAAAAGACCAAUUCAAGAAGGCAUGUAAGGUAGCCAAUCAGGAUGAUCCAUCUGGUACUGGAACUGACGAUAGUAAGAAAUCCAAGAAGGUUUGGUGACAUUUCAAUAAGUUCAACCGAUGGUGCUGAAGGGUCGGGAAAAGAAGGUAAUGAGAACGAAGACAUGAUUUAAGAAAACCCACAGAACCGUCGUUCGCAAAAACGCAUUGAUUUAAUUGAGAAAGGACUUUUUUAUGAUGAUAGUAACAACUCAAUAUUAUUGAUUUGCCUGGUUUACAGUUAUUAACAAUUUAUUGUCAAUUAAAACAGAUAGUGAUGACAUUGACGAAGGUCUUCAAAAUAUUAUUGAUAACACGUCUUUCGAUCUACAUUCGGAUCUUAUUACAAUUUAUGAAGACGAUGGAAACACAAGCAAUUCAUCAAAGGAUUUGGAGACUAGUCGGAGUAGUGAGAAAAACUCGGAGAAGAAAAAUAAGUUUCAUUUGUUUAAAUCUCUAUGGACACCCAGACCAACU